GACGAACGCUGGCGGCGUGCUUAAUACAUGCAAGUCGAACGGAGAGGCUCCUUUGGGGGAACUCGUGUGGCGAACGGGAAAGUAACACGUGAGUAACCGGCCCUUGACUUCGGGCUAACUUCAGGAAACUGGGGCUAAUACCAGUAAGGCAUACUUACUGUAUAGACGGGGUUGGAAAGUUUCAGCGGCUUUGGCUGGACUCGCGGCUGAUCAGCCGUUGUGUGGGUUAGUUGCUUACCAAGGCUCUGACGGGUAGGCGGCCUGAGAGGUCGACCGGCCACAUUGGGACUGAGGUACGGCCCAGACUCCUACGGGCGGCAGCGGUGGGGAAUAUUGCACAACGGGCGGAAGCCUGUUGCGGCAGCGUCGCGUGCGGGAUGACGUCCUUCGGGUUGUAAACCGCUUUCAGCAGGGGAGACGCUUGUAGUGACGGUACCUGCCGAAGAAGCACCGGCUAACUACGUG
rnacentral:rRNA from 1 species